GACGAACGCUGGCGGCGUGCUUAACACAUGCAAGUCGAACGGAAAGGCCCUGCUUUUGUGGGGUGCUCGAGUGGCGAACGGGUGAGUAACACGUGAGUAACCUGCCCUUGACUUUGGGAUAACUUCAGGAAACUGGGGCUAAUACCGGAUAGGAGCUCCUGCUGCAUGGUGGGGGUUGGAAAGUUUCGGCGGUUGGGGAUGGACUCGCGGCUUAUCAGCUUGUUGGUGGGGUAGUGGCUUACCAAGGCUUUGACGGGUAGCCGGCCUGAGAGGGUGACCGGCCACAGUGGGACUGAGAUGCGGCCCGGACUCCGACGGGAGGCAGCAGGGGGGAAUAUUGCACAAUGGGCGGAAGCCUGAUGCAGCAACGCCGCGUGCGGGAUGACGGCCUUCGGGUUGUAAACCGCGUUCGCCUGUGACGAAGCGUGAGUGACGGGAAUGGGUAAAGAAGCACCGGCUAACUACGUG
rnacentral:rRNA from 1 species